AAUAAUCCUCCUUUGCUACCGCCAGAAAGCUAUUGUUAUACACAUUGCAUAUAAUUACGAAUUUGUAAAUGACGGAUAGUAGGUUGGAAGGGUCUUGGCGAGCAUGUGAACAUGCUUCUAUGACAUGGUAUAAGGCAUACAAAAGCCUUGAAACUUUUCGCAAUCGCACCAAUCUCUAUCUAGUUCGACCCGAUAAUAUCCUUCUGGCCUCCCC
rnacentral:lncRNA from 1 species